rnacentral:rRNA from 1 species
GAGGAAUAUUGGUCAAUGGACGAGAGUCUGAACCAGCCAAGUAGCGUGAAGGAUGACUGCCCUAUGGGUUGUAAACUUCUUUUAUACGGGAAUAAAGUUAGCCACGUGCGGCUUUUUGUAUGUACCGUAUGAAUAAGGAUCGGCUAACUCCGUGCCAGCAGCCGCGGUAAUACGGAGGAUUCAAGCGUUAUCCGGAUUUAUUGGGUUUAAAGGGUGCGUAGGCGGUUUGAUAAGUUAGAGGUGAAAUUUCGGGGCUCAACCCUGAACGUGCCUCUAAUACUGUUGAGCUAGAGAGUAGUUGCGGUAGGCGGAAUGUAUGGUGUAGCGGUGAAAUGCUUAGAGAUCAUACAGAACACCGAUUGCGAAGGCAGCUUACCAAACUAUAUCUGACGUUGAGGCACGAAAGCGUGGGGAGCAAACAGGAUUAGAUACCCUGGUAGUCCACGCAGUAAACGAUGAUAACUCGUUGUCGGCGAUACACAGUCGGUGACUAAGCGAAAGCGAUAAGUUAUCCACCUGGGGAGUACGUUCGCAAGAAUGAAACUCAAAGGAAUUGACGGGGGCCCGCACAAGCGGAGGAACAUGUGGUUUAAUUCGAUGAUACGCGAGGAACCUUACCCGGGCUUGAAAGUUAGCGACGAUUCUUGAAAGAGGAUUUCCCUUCGGGGCGCGAAACUAGGUGCUGCAUGGUUGUCGUCAGCUCGUGCCGUGAGGUGUCGGGUUAAGUCCCAUAACGAGCGCAACCCCUACCGUUAGUUGCCAUCAGGUGAAGCUGGGCACUCUGGCGGGACUGCCGGUGUAAGCCGAGAGGAAGGUGGGGAUGACGUCAAAUCAGCACGGCCCUUACGUCCGGGGCUACACACGUGUUACAAUGGUAGGUACAGAGGGCAGCUACCCAGCGAUGGGAUGCGAAUCUCGAAAGCCUAUCUCAGUUCGGAUUGGAGGCUGAAACCCGCCUCCAUGAAGUUGGAUUCGCUAGUAAUCGCGCAUCAGCCAUGGCGCGGUGAAUACGUUCCCG